rnacentral:rRNA from 1 species
UACGGGGGGGGCAAGCGUUGUUCGGAAUUACUGGGCGUAAAGGGCUCGUAGGUGGCCAACUAAGUCAGACGUGAAAUCCCUCAGCUUAACUGGGGAACUGCGUCUGAUACUGGAUGGCUCGAGUGCAGGAGAGGAACGCGGAAUUCCAGGUGUAGCGGUGAAAUGCGUAGAUAUCUGGAGGAACACCGGUGGCGAAGGCGGCAUCCUGGACCGGUAUUGACGCUGAUGCGCGAAAGCCAGGGGAGCAAACGGG